AUUUCUGUGACUGGUGAUCACAUACGAGGUCCCACUGGAAGAGAAGGAGACCAACACAGAGGAGCUUAACAGCAUUUUAAAGCCUCAGCUUUUGUGGAUCUGAGGACCAUGAAACACCAUCAGGAAUGUGUGUCUCUCAUGAGGGCAGGUUCCCAUAAGACCGAGUGAGAGAGAUGCUCAUACCUUGAGGAGAGAAAGAAGACAAAGAAAGGUACAGACACCACCAGCUGCAGGGUGCGCCACUCUCGAAAGACAAAAGCCAGUCCUCCCAGCAUCAUCUGUCCCA